rnacentral:rRNA from 1 species
AGUGUAGAUUCAGAGUUUGAUCCUGGCUCAGAACGAACGCUGGCGGCAUGCCUAACACAUGCAAGUCGAACGAGACCUUCGGGUCUAGUGGCGCACGGGUGCGUAACGCGUGGGAAUCUGACCCUUGGGUUCGGAAUAACUCGCCGAAAGGCGUGCUAAUACCGGAUGAUGUCGUAAAGACCAAAAGAUUUAUCGCCCAGGGAUGAGCCCGCGUAAGAUUAGGUAGUUGGUGAGGUAAAGGCUCACCAAGCCGACGAUCUUUAGCUGGUCUGAGAGGAUGAUCAGCCACACUGGGACUGAGACACGGCCCAG